rnacentral:lncRNA from 1 species
CGCACACAGCGCACACCCGCGCGGUCCCCGCCGGCGCAGGAGGCGCGGCUCGGCGUACGGGCGAGAGGGGCCCCGGCCGCGACAGACGCAGGGAGACCCCGGGCAGGGCUGCGGGCGCAGGUCCGGCCAUUACCUUUCCGAGCACCUUUCCGCGGCAGUAGCGCUUCCCCGUCGUGGGAUCGGUUAUAAUCCGGGACACCUCGGCGGCAGGGUGCGCGUGCUGGUGGGGCUGUUCCUCCGCCUUCUUUCUUCGCGGCUCGGCACUGCCGGCCCUCCCCACGGCCGCCUCGCAGCCUCUGGCAGCGGCGGUAGUACUAGAAGCUCCGCCGCCGCCCGGCGGGUAGGCGAUGGUCCGCAGCAGCUCCAUCUCCGCGCUGCCGUCCCGCCCGUCUCCCACCUGCCACUGGUCUCACUUCCCUCCCUGCUCCCGACGCACUCCCAACGCCGAGCAGCGCCCGGCUCGCCCUUAUAUGCCGGAGAAGGCCCCGCCCCGCCGAGUGGGCCGGCCCCGCCCCGCGGCUCGGCCCCGCCUGCUGCUGCCCAGAACGGCCCGGCCCGGCCGGGUAAAACCCCUGUGCAGCCGCCGAGGCAGCGCUCAGGGCACCGCGGUCGCCCGCAGUCACUCCCGGCUGGAACUCAGCGAAGGGAAGGCCAGUGCUGGGCGCGCCUUGCUGCCCUGGCCGUUGCUCACACGGCGAGCCGUUCCUUCCCAGCCACAACCCUGGGCUCCGGAGCUGUCUGACGACGGGACAGGUGCAGGCAGCACUAACGUUUUGUUUUCACGGACAAAGACGUUUCUUCGGACAUCCCAAACACACCUCUAAGGCAACGGUACUUCAAGCAUCACAUCCCAUUCUCUUCUUCCUCCAGACACCUCCUCCCGGCAGCCCGCAGCUUUUCCCACCAGCAGUUGCUUGCGGUGCUGCAGUGCAUGGCACCGAAAGGCUGUGGCCGGGGGCAGCAGGACAGCCGCCUGGAAGCACCUCCUGCAGCAUGCUCUCCCUCCUUCCAGGAUGCUGCUUUGCAGCUGGCAUUAAAAUUUCUCCCUGCUGAGUAAUUAGCAUCGGAAACCGGGGAGCACAGUCCUUGAUCUUUAAUACAGAUGUUUGAAAGAAAUGGUCCCUGAAGAGUGAAGGGUGCACAUGAGAGGAAAGUUUUAAAGUGUGAAAGUUGCUGUUCAUUUCUGAAAAUGUGUUUGCUUGUUCGUACACACUGGGAGUACCUCUGCUUACUCACAGUGCUGGUAAAAACAGAAGUCCAGUUAAUUCAGUACAAAUUGACAUCUGAGGACAUGACCAGACAAAAGAGCAUGACACCCUCCCCUGGGCACUUCUUCUUUCACAUCUUAAAAUAACAGUAAUAUACACUCAUUUUACAGUGUCAACAGCAGUACGUAUGUUUU